rnacentral:rRNA from 1 species
GACGAACGCUGGCGGCGUGCCUAAUACAUGCAAGUCGAGCGGGCCUCCGGAGGUGCUUGCACCUCCGGAAGGCCAGCGGCGGACGGGUGAGUAACACAUGGGCAACCUGCCUUUGAGGCCGGGAUAACACCGGGAAACCGGUGCUAAUACCGGAUACGUCCUCUUUCGCGCCUGCGCGAGGGGAGAAGGACGGUCUUUAAGGCCGUCGCUCUAAGAGGGGCCCGCGGCGCAUUAGCUUGUUGGUGGGGUAAGGGCCAACCAAGGCGACGAUGCGUUGCCGACCUGAGAGGGUGAUCGGCCACACUGGGACUGAGACACGGCCCAGACUCCUGCGGGAGGCAGCAGUAGGGAAUCAUCCGCAAUGGGCGAAAGCCUGACGGUGCAACGCCGCGUGAGUGAGGAAGGUUUUCGGAUCGUAAAGCUCUGUUGUGAGGGAAGAACAGCUUCCGGAGGAAAUGCCGGAGGUUUGCCGGUACCUCACCAGAAAGCCCCGGCUAACUACGUGCCAGCCGCCGCAGUAA